rnacentral:miRNA from 1 species
GGUGGCCCUUUUUCAUUCACUAAACAAAUGUUUGCUGAAUGCCUACUGUGUGCCAGGUCCUGUUCCAGGCAGGGAUCAAU